UUUGUACUCCCUCCGUGCGGAAAUAUUUUUCAUCAAAAUGGAUAAAAGGGGAUGUAUCUAGACGUAUUUUAGUUCUAGAUACAUCUCUUUUUAUCCAUUUUGGUGACAACUAUUUCGGACGGAGGGGGUACCAA
rfam:Triticum aestivum genome assembly, contig: Triticum_aestivum_CS42_TGACv1_scaffold_220608_3B